rnacentral:rRNA from 1 species
UACGUAGGGUGCAAGCGUUGUCCGGAAUUAUUGGGCGUAAAGAGCUCGUAGGCGGUCUGUCGCGUCUGGUGUGAAAAUCCAGGGCUUAACCCUGGACCUGCAUCGGGUACGGGCAGACUAGAGUGCGGUAGGGGAGAUCGGAAUUCCUGGUGUAGCGGUGAAAUGCGUAGAUAUUGGGAAGAACACCUGAGGCGAAGGCGGGAUGCUGGGCCGACACUGACGCUGAUGCGCGAAAGCCAGGGGAGCAAACGGG